rnacentral:rRNA from 1 species
GACGAACGCUGGCGGCGUGCCUAAUACAUGCAAGUAGAACGCACAGUUUAUACCGUAGCUUGCUACACCAUAGACUGUGAGUUGCGAACGGGUGAGUAACGCGUAGGUAACCUGCCUGGUAGCGGGGGAUAACUAUUGGAAACGAUAGCUAAUACCGCAUAAUAUUAAUUAUUGCAUGAUAAUUAAUUGAAAGGUGCAAUUGCACCACUACCAGAUGGACCUGCGUUGUAUUAGCUAGUAGGUGAGGUAACGGCUCACCUAGGCGACGAUACAUAGCCGACCUGGGAGGGUGAUCGGCCACACUGGGACUGAGACACGGCCCAGACUCCUACGGGAGGCAGCAGUAGGGAAUCUUCGGCAAUGGACGAAAGUCUGACCGAGCAACGCCGCGUGAGUGAAGAAGGUUUUCGGAUCGUAAAGCUCUGUUGUAAGAGAGGAACGGGUGUGAGAGUGGAAAGUUCACACUGUGACGGUAUCUUACCAGAAAGGGACGGCUAACUACGUG